UAUUUUCUGUUACUCCCUUCCAGCCUAAUACAUCACCUGCUUCCUGAGCUGGGUCUGUGACAAGUUUGUGUGCUAAGAGGAACUGACAUUUCAGUGCUGUGGAUUGACUGCUGGCGCAGAGAUACAGUGCCGUGUCUCCCGGUUCUGAGGACAGGAUUGCCAGGCUGCAGGAUAACCCUGCUCGGAUGUUGAGAGACGACAGCACCAAGCCCGGAGCCUGCUGAGACAGAAGCCAGAGAGAGAGGAGAGCCCAGUGGGAGCCGAGUCAGACAGGACGCCAGGCAGAGCUGAGCCUCACUCCCUCCCUGUGCUCCCAGCUCCUGGAGAGUCCUGUUUGUUUUGUGCAAUCUUCCCGUCAUCUCCCUAGGGCCAUAAUCCCCCAUCUCCUCUGACCGGCGGCUUUCACCUUACCAUUUACACCUCUAGAGAGCAGGGCCUCUCCCUCUCCCUUCGAUGAGCAUAAACAAUCCACAUUGCAACCCUGCUGGCCACCACUUGACCAUGCCAACACACGCACAUGCCCACCCAAGCUCCCAGGUAGAAGGAGGCUUAUACCUGGCCCCAGAAGCAGCAGAAGCAGCAGCAUCUUCCGUGAUGGCCUCACACCACCUUCUCUGGGGAGAGUUGUGACCACUGCCUCCAUUCACCAGCGAGGAGGGAUGACUGAUCACAGAAUCCCAAGGAUGCCCUAGUCUGCCCCCUGGUGGUAAUCUUUGCCCAUGACUGAUGUUACGUCCAUCUCUGCCUGUCAAAAAACCAUACAGGUCGGGUGAGGUGGCUCACGCCUGUAAUUCCAGAACUUUGGGAGUCCGAGGCGGGUGGAUCACAAGGUUAGGAGUUCAAGACCAAUCUGGCCAACAUGGUGAAAACCCAUCUCUACUAAAAACACAAAAAUUAGCCAGGCGUGGUGGUGGACACCUGUAAUCCCAGCUACUCAGGAGGCUGAGGGAGAGAAUUGCUUGAACCCAGGAGGCGGAGGUUGCAAUGAGCUGAAAUCAUGCCACUGCACUCCAGCCUGGGUGACAGAGUGAGACCCCAUAUCAAAAGAAAACAAAAAACCCAUACAUUGCCUAAAGUGGCCUAAAGACUUCCCAAUUCAACUUCCAAAUUUAUUAAAGAUACACUGAGACAUAAAGCAUUGUAAUGACUUAAGUGAGUUUCCUAUAAGGAAAGGAGUGUAGGUUUAGGUAAUGAAUGGCAUUGGAGUCUGUUUGCUGCUUCUGUUUCAUAUCCUCAAAGUAAUAACACCAAGACAACUCAUGGUUGUUAAUCACUAGACCCACAGGUUGGCACUACCAUAAAUAUUGAUAAAGCACAGGCCAGUGCCUCGGCUGGAAGUCCAAUGUUUCUUCAUAAUCAUGUUGAAGCCACUUCAUCAUUUUCUAAAUGAGAUAGUUACCUCAUGUGUAUCUCAUGACAAUUUCCCUCAUAUAUAAAGGGACUUAAUUCUAAACAUUCUAAUAAUAUUUCUCAAUUUAGCUUGUAUGUUUCCGUGUUAAUCACUGUUGAGGUUGUGAGAAUAAUUAAAUUUAUUCUAUUGUAAUGGAGGUCAUACUAAGUACUGGACAGUGAAAAUAGUUUCUAGGAGGCAUAAGAAAUUCUUUGAUUUGAACAGGCUGGGAUACUUGUUUUAAUGGAUCGAUGUUGGAAAUAUGUAGCAAUUACAAGGAGCUGGAAAGUUUUUUUGAAAGCCCUAUGUUUUCAUUUUUAUAACAGCCUCUCAAUUGUGCUUUCAUUUAAUAUUUAGUUCUGCUUCUCUGGCAUAGGUAGCUAGAAAAGAUAAGAUUAAGACUUCGCCCAUCAUAUUAUGUUUGUGCAAUAGUGAAAUCGUUUUAUAACAAAUAUAGCUAUUGCAUUAUGUUAAUAUUGACAUAUCUAUUAAAGGGCAUCUGUAUGCUCCUGUGGCUGCAUUUUUUAUUUCCUGGGUAUGUUGGGCCUCAUUAAAAUGAGGCCACUUCAUACUGUAACUGUACUUUUUCUGCAAAGAAUAAGUAGGGACAGCUUGCUAUGGGUGACCUCUGGUCCAAUAUUAUGAUAUGUCUGGGAGGGAGUGGCUGGAAGACCUUCAGAUCAGAAGAAAAUCUUCCUAUUUAUUUUGAGAAACACUAAUUGUCAGGUACAGAUGGUCUCAUGAUGGUUCAAUGACUUUUCAACUUUACAAUGGUGCAAAAGCAAUAUGCAUUUCAGUGUGCUCCUUGACUUAUGAUGGGGUUAUGUACAGAUAAGCUGGAUAUUGUAAGUUGAAUUAUGAUGUUUUCAAUUUGUGCUGGAUUUAUCAGGAUAUUACCCCACUGCAAGUCAAGGAGCAUCUGGAUAUUCUUGUGGGGUUUUAUCACUGUGUCAACUUAGCUAAGCAAGGAAUAUGUUUCGGACAACUUUUUUCCUAGUAUGGUUCCGGGUUAGAGUUGAUCAUGGGGUAAGAAAUGCAGGAAGUUUGUAAGGGGAAAGUAAAACAGCUGCUACUGAGUUCUGAAGUCAUCACUGGCUCCAGGCAGUAAGGAGUAGCAUCAAAAGUGCCGGUGAGUUCCAAUUUAUGCUGACUUUCCCCUGCUUCACAUCCAGCUCUUUAUACCGACUGCCAGCCCUGCUGACCAGGAGGGACUGCAGUGCCACCACCAAAUUUUCUGAGAACUCACAGGGCUAUUGGCACAUAGAGUCAGCCAUCUUCAUAGAUUCCUACACCAGCCCCUUCAGGGUUCCAUAUAGUGUAUGGAUAUAACAGCUUAAUGCAAAACUUAAUGCGAAGUCCAGUUCAUCCACCUUCACCAGAGCUGGUUAGAGUUGUUUUUUCUGACCCUUUUCAAACUUUCACUUAUCCAUCUUCUCCCCAAAUUGUGUCAGGCCUCAUUCCUAUAAUAUAUUCUUUUGUUCCUUAAUGCUCAUGGUGGUUUUUCUUCCCUGACACUUCCAUUUGUGUUAUGGGUUUGCCAUAGCCAAAACCAUACAUUGUCAAUAGCUAGUAUGUGCUAUGACUUUUCAUUUUCUGAGACUACUUCAAGGCCAUCUCUUAAAAUUAGUCAAUGUGACCAGUUUUCUUGGUGUCUGGGGGACUUCAGUAUCCAUGAGAACUGUUGGAAAAAGAGAUAGAAGUUAGAGUCAGAGGCCUGGCACCAAAGGGCUGUGGCACAAGAAAUCCUUGGUGUUGAGAUCUGAUAGCCCAUAAUAGGGCUCUACAUCUUUGCCUGGGAUAAAUCUACUACUAGGAAUCAAAGGCCAUGCAGCAGAGAAGCAUGCUUAAUAGGGCAGACACAGAAUAUGAUGGAUCCUCUUUCUGCUCUGAGUUGGUAUACUAAAGUUUUGUGCAAAAACAAUGACGAUUAAAGAUGAUGGUUAACACAUAGGUAGGUAAUUGUAAUUAAGUAUUGGUAAAAUAAAACAAUACUUCUAGUUAUGGUAGAUCUAACAUUCUGACUAUCCAAAAUAUUGGAAAUCAUGAAGGGGAACCAUAGGUGUUAAUUGUUCUAAAGUUCACAUAGGCUUCAGGAGAAUGGUAAAGAUAAGACUAAUCUCAGAUUUUCUUAAUAUAAUUAUAUAAUAAAAUGUUACAGUUAACCAUCAAAAAAUGAAAAUGAAUUGCGGACUUCUGAAAGGCAAAAUAAUGAAAUGAGAAAAAUAGUCAACAAAAAUAAGGUCAUGCAUGAGGGAAGAAGAAACCAAAAUGUGAGAAAAAUUAAUGUACAAAACCAAGCAAGAAACAUAACUCAAAACCCAGGAAAUCACCUUCUAUAGAAAACUAUACAGAAAUACAUUUAAGACAAUAGACUGAGGAUUCUAGUUCUAUAAAUCAUGGGCUGAAAAAAUACACACUGCUUAUGAAAUACCCACCUGAAGAAUAAAAACAACAAAAAGGCUGCAUGUAGAAAGGUUGAAAAAGAAAUACUUGACAAAUACAAUCUUAAAAACAUGAAAUAGUUUUAUUGAUGUCAUCCCAAAAGGACUUCAAUGCAAAAAGAGCAGCAGGGAAAAAAUAAGAGUACCAAGUAAUGACACAAAUUCAAAUGGCUGUGGUGUGGUAUUUGGUCUUCAAAGACACCAGCCUGAUGAAACACACUGGCCAGUGGUCACCUUCCCAGGGGUGCCCUUCUCUUGAAUCCGAGCUGGCUGGAUUGUGGUGGAGGUGUCACUGCAUAUUUCUCAGGCUGGGCUGUAAGGAGCCUAGUUGACCACACCCGGGUCUCUUGAAUGCUCACAGUUAGGGUGGUCAACGACCAUGCCAAAACUUUAGCUGCCUAGAGGCCACCAUGCUGUGAGACAGCUCAUCUAAUCACAUCAAAAGGCUGUGUACAGAGAGAAAUGCUCAGCGGGUCCACAGCUACUGCAGCCAUCCCAGGUAACGAACCAACAGGGGCACAAAAAAGCCACCUUGGAUAUUCAGCCUAGUUGAGUCUUCAGAUAUCUUCAGCCUCAGUGACUAUCUGACAGUGACCAUGUGAGCAGCCCUAAGUGAGAACUGUCCAGCUGAGCCCUUCUACAGAAUCACAAGAGAUAAUAAUAUGUUGUUCUUUUAAAUCACUAACUUUUGGAGUGGUUUGUCACACAGCAAUAGAUUAUUGGUCAAGAUAAUAUACUUGCCAUUUUAAGUUUUCUAAGUGAGGUAUAAAAUACAUAGACUGCACAAAUCUUAAGUGUUCAGCCCAAUGAAUUUUUGAAAUGAAUAUACUCAUGUAAUCAUCACCCAGAUCAAGAUAUAGAAUUUAGAAUUCCAAAAGCCUUCCUCAUGUCUCCCUCAGAAUAAAUACAUAAUGCUACCAAAUUUAAUCACUAUUCUGACUACAUACUGUAUUAUUUUGUGUCUACUAUAUUUUAUUCAAUGUUAUAUUUGAAAUAUCUGUGUUGGAAAUUACACUUGAUUUUUUUGUGCUAUAUUGUAUUCUGUUACAUAAAUGUAACACAAUCAUUUCUCCAUUGCAUUGUCAGAUGUUGAAUAUUUUCCAAUUUGGAGCCAUUGGGAAUAAAGCUGCUAUUGUGGUAGUACCUUUUUCUCACACGUUAAAUAUCCCUUUCUGCUUCCUAAGAAUUCUGGACUAUUUCUUCAAUUUUUAAACAGUUGACAAAUUGGUUUUCUGACUUGUCUAAUUUACAAUUUGUUAUGUUCAAUGUGAUUUUAAAUAGAGCAAUUAUGUUUAUUAUGUUAAAGAAAUACAGUUCUAGAUUAAAAUUUUAUAUAAAUUAUCUUCCUAUUUAAUAGAUGCGAUGGCCUCUCAAAACUUGCUAAGAAAACAUUCAGUGAUAUUUUACAUUUUAAAAAUUUCCUGUCCUUCACUUCAGAUGAUAUCUCUCUUACAACCUGGUUGUGGGAAUGGAGAUUAUGAUGAAACUUCAUAGCUACAGUGUUCUUUUCAGUAUUAAGAUUACCCUGAAAAAAGCAAAUGGUUAAUAGUUUUACAGUAGAAUUUUUGAAGUCUAUUUAAGCUCUUAUGCCCUGCUUUAAUAAAUUCCUCAACUGAAACAAAGGAAUUUGUGUCCAUUCUAGUCACGGACAAGAAAAACAAGGAAAAACAAGAUUGUCUAUCUCUUACUGUCUUCCCUUUCGUUUUCUUCCUCUCAUUGGACAGACAGUCUUUCCCAAUCCCAUCACCUCUGGAAAAUGGCUUGUAUACAGGGC
rnacentral:lncRNA from 1 species